UAAAUAGCCGCAGUACCCUGACUGUGCAAAGGUAGCAUAAUCAUUUGGCUUAUAAUUAAAGUCUGGCAUGAAUGGAUAUAUGGGAAGUGACUGUCUUUUAAAACUUAUUAGAAAUUUCUUAGCAAGUGAAAAUUCUUGCAUAUACUAAAUAGACGAGAAGACCCUAGAAGUUUUAUACAUUAGUAGAUUAAAUACUAUACUAUUUUGUUGGGGCGACAGAGUAGCAAAUAACCUACUUUUAUUAAUUAGAACUAUAUGUUGAGUUAAAUUAAACUACUCUAGGGAUAACAGCAUAAUUUAUUAAAGUUUGUGACCUCGAUGUUGGACUAGGGAUCUUAACGCCUAGAAGGUAUUGUGUCAAGCUCUGU
rnacentral:rRNA from 1 species